rnacentral:rRNA from 1 species
AUUGAACGCUGGCGGCAGGCCUAACACAUGCAAGUCGAACGAGUGGCGGACGGGUGAGUAAUGUCUGGGAAACUGGCUGAUGGAGGGGGAUAACUACUGGAAACGGUGGCUAAUACCGCAUACCAUCGGAUGUGCCCAGAUGGGAUUAGCUAGUAGGUGGGGUAACGGCUCACCUAGGUGAAGAUCCCUAGCUGGGCUGAGAGGAUGACCAGCCACACGGGAACUGAGCAACGGGCCAGACGCCUACCGGAGGCAGCAGUGGGGAAUAGUGCACAAUGGGCGGAAGCCUGAUGCAGCCAUGCGGCGUGUAUGAAGAAUGCUUUCGGGUUGUAAAGUACUUUCAGCGGGGAGGCGUUACCCGCAGAAGAAGCACCGGCUAACUCCGUGCCAGCCGCCGCGGUAAUUC